CCUACGGGAGGCUGCAGUGAGGAAUAUUGGUCAAUGGACGAGAGUCUGAACCAGCCAAGUAGCGUGAAGGAUGACUACCCUAUGGGUUGUAAACUUCUUUUAUAUGGGAAUAAAAUGUUCCACGUGUGGGAUUUUGUAUGUACCAUAUGAAUAAGGAUCGGCUAACUCCGUGCCAGCAGCCGCGGUAAUACGGAGGAUCCGAGCGUUAUCCGGAUUUAUUGGGUUUAAAGGGAGCGUAGGUGGAUUGUUAAGUCAGUUGUGAAAGUUUGCGGCUCAACCGUAAAAUUGCAGUUGAAACUGGCAGUCUUGAGUACAGUAGAGGUGGGCGGAAUUCGUGGUGUAGCGGUGAAAUGCUUAGAUAUCACGAAGAACUCCGAUUGCGAAGGCAGUUCACUGGACUGUAACUGACACUGAGGCUCGAAAGUGUGGGUAUCAAACAGGAUUAGAUACCCCAGUAGUC
rnacentral:rRNA from 1 species